AUGCACAGAGCAGAUAAUACACGUGAUUAUAGAGAGACAUCUGUUUAUCGGGAAGAUUCUCCACCUAGGCGGAGGUUUGACAGGUCUCGAUCACGGGACAGAUUUCAAUCAAGAGAGAGAUCGCCAAGUAACAUCUACCCCCGUAGAAACCAGUUCUCUCCAACUAGACCGAUGUUUCACAGGUCUCAACCCAGGGACAGAUCUCCAAAUAAUGUCUGUCGAUUUAGCAACCUGGAUUCUGCACCUAGGCGGAGUUUUCACAGGUCGCCAUCAAGAGACAGACCUCCAAGAAACACCUACCAUUCUAGAGGCAUGUGGCACCUCGAUGAGCAGCAGAGAGCAGAUUUACAAACCCUCGAAGAAAAACUGGAUGCUCAAGUGGAAGCCACUCACGAAUUGGAGGUUAAAUGCCAGAAAAUUGGACAAUCUUUGGAAAAGGAGCAAUCUGAUAACAAAAUCCUUCGGUCCAAAAACACUGAACUGAGACUUCUGAACGAGCAGCAGAGUGCAGAAAUUCAGUCCCUUAAAGAAGCGCUUUCUGCACAAGUGGAGGCUACCAAAAUUAUGGAGGACAAAUACCGUAAGUCUGAAGAUCGGACUUUGAGGUUACACUGCAAACUAGUUCAAGAGAAGUGGGAAAGACAAGACGAAACUGAAAAUUUGAACCAAGAAAAAGAGGAUUUACUGGCUUCUUGCAAGAGCUUAGAGGAACAUCUUCACAUUAAAACUGAAAGUGAGUCCAGGCUGCAGAAUGAGCUAAACGCAGCUAUGAGACACCUCAACAAGUUGCUACUGGAAGCAGAGGAUUUCCAUAAAGGAAAGGCUGAAACGUGUUCCACGCUGCAAGACGCACAGGACCACAAUAAGCAGAGGAACGAUGUGCAGGACUCUACAAACACAGGGUCUAAACAGCCCAACAAAAAGGCUGUCAAACGGCAGAUGGUAACGGAAAAUCAGAAAGAGAACAGCAUUGUCCUGACUAACGAAAGGAGCCUGAAGGUUGACUCACAGGAAGCACAGGGUCCUACCUCAGGGGACGUCAGGCUGGAAUCCCAGCUCCUUGAAUCAGAGCCGACACACCAGCCUUAUCUUCUAAAUUUUCAGAAAGAUUUUAGUGAAAUCAGCAAAAGUUUAGCUGAUACAUUAGCUCCAUUAGACGACUUCAAUAACAGCAAACCACAAAGUUCUGCCACAACAUCAAACUCUCCAACCAGGAAGCGUAAGAGAUCAGACUGUCAGUCUGUAUCUGAUUCUUCUGCCUCUCAGAUCCAUGGAGAAAAGUCCUUAAGUAUUACAAAGAACUUUGAGGAACCUCCAGCUAAAAGUUCAAAAACAGACUCAGAGGAAACAGAAACAACAAAAUGGUUUCUGAAUCCUGUAACCUUCAAAUAG
rnacentral:lncRNA from 1 species